rnacentral:lncRNA from 1 species
UUUUUUUCCACCUGAUAAUCCAUAAUUAUGAGUUUGCCUAGCAAGUAUUGCACAUUUUCUCUUGAACAUUCUCAAAUUUGAUAAUCUUGUUACUUCUAAAUUAUUCAGAGUUGGCAUAUGCUGAAAGAAACACAUUGAGAAGAAGAAAAUUACACUCUGGUUACUAACCGUGACAUUUCGUUGGUAGGCCUUAUGGAAUCUUGUUCUAAGCACUAAGUUUACAAGAAUAUUUCGAGGUCCUCUGAGUUGCUUAUUUACUUAGUUAACAUUAGUUCUUUUUCUCCUGGUUACUUUUCUGAAGGAAGAGAUUUUGUUCUCGGUGAUUGGGCAUAGUGAUGUUGAUGCAUCGCCUGAUCUCAUUCUCACAGAGGAUACCAAUGGGGUGAAUGCCGGUAGGAGAAACUUGCACAUUGUUCAUUUUUACUUUAUGUUUGUCCAAAUCAUUUGCCAAGAAAAGCAAUGGCAAUUUCUGUGAUAUAUCACGCUCAUUAACACUGAAUAUUUGUUCACCUGCUACUGUAUCUUGAGAAUACGCAUAUGAUAGCAUAGUAUGACUCAUUUGGUGGUUGAUGAAAAUCAUAUACUGGUCAGAUUGUAGGAGGUUUGUGAUUAGUUGUGCCAUUCACUUUUAGAAAUAGAACUGAGAGAUGAAACCCAUCUUUCGCGAAUUAAAACUGAAUGUGCAAGUUUUUAUUGAAGCAACAACAAAGUUUAAGUUCUGAUUUUGUAGAUAAAAAAUAAUUGCCGACUGAAAAAAUUUCCUCCCAGAUACAAGUGUAUCUGGUGGUUGAUUAAAAUCAUCAUUAUAAUCCUGUGAUUUUAGAGUAGUGUGAUUUUGGAAAAAAUACAAUGCCAAAGUCGGCCGAAGCGAUGUCAUAUGAAAUCUGGCUUCCAUGGUUUAUACUAAAGGCAUCAUUUUUGAGGUGGUAUAUACAAUUAUACACAACUUAAUUUAUUCUAAAGAAUCAUAUUUCAAAGCAGCCUGAGCUCACCAACUUAAUUUUAUCUGUCUUUUGUUUUGUAUUCGUGUCAUUUAUUUAGAUAGAUGUUUCUGUCCUUAAUUAUGUGGAAGGUCAUGAUGACUGCACCUACAUCUGGUUCCACUUUCUUGACAAAUUUGUGGAAAAUGUUUUCAGGUACUCAACCUAUUGAUGCACAUGGACAUGAUGACUCUCCAGCGUUUAUGGACCAACCAACCUGUAAUCAUGGACCUUAUUGUCUUGUAGACCAUUUGGUGUUUCGAGUGUUUUGGAGCUUGCACUUUGUGCAUGUAGAUACAAACUUGUGUGUUCUGGACCAUCUGAAGUCUCUCAUAGUAACCAAUAGUCCUUAUCUUUUUGUGACUUGUGUGCUCUAGAUGAUUGUUAAGAUGGUCAAAACUAUGCUUCCUCUAUGUUAAUUUGUUUGUCAACUUGCGUUCAACGUAUGUGCAUGUUUAUAAACAUAUUUUCAUU